AGCGAGAGGCUGGAGAGCGCGACCCGCCUGCGCUCUACAGGGCGGGAGAGCCCCCGAGGCCUCCCCAGCACACCCGCGGCUUUGUCCGCGGAGGAGACGCCGCGGAGCCUCAAGCCUGAAGUCCAGGGGCUCCGCAGAUGCACUUCGAGGGCCUGUCAGUGCCUGUUUAGUCUUGCAAUAUGGAAAGCAAAAUGUCAUAUAUGCGUUUUAUCUUAGGAGAGCAUUCGCGGCUUCUAUAUAGUCUCAGAAGCUUAAGUUCAUUGUCUUUUAGAAUGAAACCCCCAGGAUCUUCCCCACACCAAGCUCCCAGGAAGGGCUGAGCGUCUGUCCUCACCAGCCAUCUCAUCUACUCCCUGGAGGGGUGCGUGCGGGAAAGGGGAUGAUGUUCUUAUUCUGAUCAGACUCCAGCUUGGUCCUUCCCAGUGUGGGGAGGGGCUGUAGGAAGGAGAGCAGUGACCUGGAGUAAUCCCAGGGGGAAAUCUGAAAUAAUUCUUAGAAGGAGGUCGUGGGAAAGAGUUUUGGGACAGUUCUUUUUUUUUCGUUAGAAAAGGACUUGGUAGGGCAGAGGGGGUUAUUUGGACUUCCAGGCUGGGUGUUCUCCCAGGACCCUGCUGGGGACCCAGACUGUCCCUCUCCCAGGCGGCCACGGUGGGUUCAUAUUUGGCCAUGGUUCCUGUACUGGCCCCUAGAGGCCAGAGCAGUAAGCCCCUACUGUGUAUCCUCUGCCCAGGUGUUCUAGUAGUGGCGAGAGUCAUGACAUCAUGCCCAUUUGCCCGCCAGGGGACCAAAACUGAAAGGAUCAAGGAGGUGUUUGGGUGGGUGAUCCCAAGAGGAUUUGGCAUGAGCCAACUUCCCUUGCAGAUGAAGGUCCAUCGAACAGUGACACUCCAACCUCUGCUCCAUCCCUCUCAAGACGUUGAGUCCCAGAGGAGAUGUCCAGGGUCUCUUGGGCUCAGUUGCUCUGUAGGUGAUGAUUAGUAUUUACCGAAUGAUGAUAAUGGCGGGCCUGCACAGUAUUUGUAAUAAAAUGAACAGUUAUCCUCUGAAAUGAAGGACAAAUCAUAAUGACAAGUUUUUGAGUCCUCUCUGCCACUAUCGCAGAAUUCCAGAACCUUAGAAUUAGGAGGCACAACCUCCAAUGAAGUCCUUAUCCCCACCAUAGCCUCUGUUAAUUGCUUGUCAGUUCUGUUCUUGUCUGACAUCUGUAUGGAUGGGGGCCUUCUUGUCAUUCCCUGGGGAUCUGCUUCUAAGGUGGGUCAGCUCCGGUGGUAGGAAGAAUCUUGUGCUAAACUGAAACAUUCCCUAUAACUGCUCCCCAGAGCCCCACAGAUCUGCUCUGCGCAUGUUAAUUCUUCACGUACAAAGGCUUUGCCUACUGUUUUUGUUUUUCCAACUGAACAUCUGAAAUUAUUUCAUAAUUUCCCUAGCUGGUGCUCUCCGCUGUAUUGCCCUGCUAGCCCAGCUCCUCUGCCACAAUGACAAUGACUCUGCCACAGUGAAGCAGCCCACAGUAUAUGGAUUGCUAGGAGCAGUCUGUAGCUUGAUCUGGGGUGGUGGUUACUAUCAGGACUCAAAGAAUAAUACCCUCCCCCAAUUUUGCAUUUUUUUGGCAUGCUAAGCAAUUUAACCUAAAGAAAAUUUAAAAACCUGAAAAGAAGGCUCAGAAUCCAUAUCACUAUAGUUGGAUGUGUGUGUGUGUGUGUGUGUGUGUUGUGUGUGUGUGUGUGGAUGUGUGUAUGCUGGAUAUUGAACCCAGGGCUUCAUAUGUUAAGCAUAUGCUCUACCACUGAGCUAUAUCACCAGCUCCUCCUGCAACCUGUCUUGUUUCUCUUCCCUCCAGUGCACAGAGAGGGGCUGUGGAAUUCCCUUAUCAGCAUUAAGACCAUACUGCAGAAGGGAACCCAGUUACUUUCUAUCUUCACCCUGAAAUCCUGUCAUUUGGCUCAGAAAAGAAAACUGAGAAAUGUAACAUACCUGGAUGGACUUUUGUGACAAGCUAAUGUCUGUUCUUUGGGUUCUUUCAGAUUCCAAGAGAGUGUCUCCACUCAUUCCCCCCAAAAUCCUUUAAAAGUCCUCAGAAUUCACCUACAUUGCUUGUAUUUCCCAUUCAUUCUAAGAAAAAAGGGGGUAAGUUCCUGAAUAAUAUUAAGCAUGUGGCAUGCUAUGGUUUCCCACUUAUGCAGGUGAGUAAAUUUGUACACUUUUUCUCCCAUUUAAAAAAAUUUUUAAAAACAUUUUUUUGGUUGUCAAUGGACUUUUAUUUUAUUUAUUUAUAUGUGGUGCUGAGAAUUGAACCCAGGGCCUCACACAUGCUAUCAAGCGCUCAGUCAUUGAGCCGCAACCCCAAGCACCUUUUCUCCCAUUGACAAAGGUCAAUUUAUUCCCGCAAACUUCCAGGGGACAGAGGGAAGACUCUCUUCAUCCCUACAUUACCGAAGUGUCAAUGUAUAUGAAAAUUCACUAGACUGCACACUUAAGAUUUUUGCACUCAGUUGUUUGUAAGUUAUGCUGCAAUAAAAUAGUAAGAAACAAAAAUAACAAGCAAAAAUGAAGUGAGGCACUCCACUGUGAAUACAAGACUCAGUCCCUUUAGAGGCAAAAGACCUGUUUGGUGCUGGCACUGAAGGAGACCUUGGGAUGAGACAAGCAGGUAAGGAAUCCAUGUAGCAAUGGGGUUCUGUAUGAGGGAUGGUUUGAAAGCCAGGAGAGGAAGUGUCUAAUUCUACCUAGAAAGUUCCAUGGAGAGGUGACUUGGGACUUGGGUCAGGAAAGACUUUGCUUAUUCACUCUCUUUCUUUAUCUUUUCUUUUUUCCAGUAUCACACAGUAUUGACCUCCUGUUGAUCAAUUUAAACUCAGAAACCAUGGAAGCAAAAAAACUGGAUUUGGGGUCUGAGAACUGCAGUUCUAGAAAGCACAGAAUCAGAUGGCUCUGAAUGAGUGCUCCAAAGAAACUCAGAUUAGCCAGGACUUUAAAAGGGAAGGAGAAACUGAGGACCAAGUGGCGUCAGGGAGAGAGAGGGCAAAUGCACGUGGCUGACCGUCUGGCUUUGAAUGGAAAUCUAUCCCCUCCUGACCUGGGAGAAUGAAACAAAUGAGAAUUUCACCAUCAUCAUAAACGUCUCUACCCUUCAGAAAAUGGAAGCUUCCAGAACCCGAGGGGCUCUUUCUUUCUCUGCUCGGCUGCUUUCGUUUCAUCAGUGUCUUCGCCUGGGUUCAUGUCAGAUGCAGCUUCCUGGUUACCCUUGUCAGAGACCUCUGUGACCUCACCUCCAAAUGCUCCUGUGUGAAGUCCACAGUGUUUCUUGAGCUCGUGGCUCCAGCUCCAUCAACUGCCCUUGUCCAGGGGUUCUGUCCCACUGGUAGCACCAGGCGAGCUUCUUCUGUCCUAUGGCAGGAGCCUCCUAACUGGGUCCUUCCUACCCUCCCUUAAUCCAUCCUUUCAGGUUCUAACUUCAGACCUGAUUAUGUCUCAAAUUUAUGUCAAAACAGAGACAUUUUAAAGCAAUGAGCAUCCUCUUUGGAGGGCUAUUUGACAAUAUCCAUCAAAAUUGCGACUGUAUGGGGCUGGGGAUAUAGCUCAAUUGAUAGGGUGCUUGCCUCGAAUGCACAAGACCCUGGGUUCAAUCCCCAGCACCAAAAAAAAAAAAAAAAAAA